rnacentral:rRNA from 1 species
UACGUAGGGGGCAAGCGUUGUCCGGAAUUAUUGGGCGUAAAGAGCGCGUAGGCGGUCCGAUAAGUCGGCUGUGAAAACCCGGGGCUCAACCCCGGGCCUGCAUUCGAUACUGACGGGCUAGAGGCAGGUAGGGGGAAGUGGAAUUCCUGGUGUAGCGGUGAAAUGCGCAGAUAUCAGGAGGAACACCGGUGGCGAAGGCGGCUUCCUGGACCUGUCCUGACGCUCAGGCGCGAAAGCUAGGGGAGCAAACAGG